rnacentral:rRNA from 1 species
UACGUAGGGGGCAAGCGUUGUUCGGAUUUAUUGGGCGUAAAGAGCGUGUAGGCGGCCUGAAAGGUCAGCUGUGAAAACUCGAGGCUCAACCUCGAGACGUCGGUUGAAACCAUCUGGCUAGAGUCCGGAAGAGGAGAGUGGAAUUCCCGGUGUAGCGGUGAAAUGCGCAGAUAUCGGGAAGAACACCCGUGGCGAAGGCGGCUCUCUGGGACGGUACUGACGCUGAGGAGCGAAAGCGUGGGGAGCGAACAGG